rnacentral:rRNA from 1 species
UACGAAGGGGGGCUAGCGUUGCUCGGAAUUACUGGGCGUAAAGCGCACGUAGGCGGUUUGUUAAGUCAGGGGUGAAAUCCCGGAGCUCAACUCCGGAACUGCCUUUGAUACUGGCAAGCUAGAGUCCGGAAGAGGUAAGUGGAACUCCUAGUGUAGAGGUGGAAUUCGUAGAUAUUAGGAAGAACACCAGUGGCGAAAGGCGGCUUACUGGUCCGGAACUGACGCUGAGGUGCGAAAGCGUGGGGAGCAAACAGG